UUCAAAAGCUAAUACAACCAAGCUCCGACCUGCAUUUUUUUUACCAAUGGUGACUCUAAAUAACUUUCCUGAUCCCCGUAGCACCGGUGACAUAUCUUUCAAGUCUCUGCCCUAUCCACUUUCUAUGGUAGUUCAUGAGCCUACCAUGGUUGUAACGUGUAACGGGAAAUAAGGGUUCACCUCCGAGAAGGGAGCUGAUUAAAUGUUACCCACAUCAAAGUA
rnacentral:rRNA from 1 species